rnacentral:lncRNA from 1 species
UUCUCAAUCUGUAUAAUGGGGGUAAUAUUGGGUAAUGCACUAAGCGCCAUGUCAGGAAUGUAGUUAGUGUUCAAUAAACGUUUAUCUUUAUUACUGCGAAACCUCAUUCUGCCAUUACCUUCUUUGUCUUCCUCUCCCAACCCCCCAGCUUCAUCAUGGCCUAUGAACAGCCAAAGGGUAAAAUGAUCAGAAAACUGGACAGUUUUUGACAGUCUACUAUUUUCAGAGAAGAGAAUGUCCCAGCUAGAAAUGCAAGUGGACGAGUGCCAACCCGAUGAGGCCAAUGAUUUGCGAGUGGAGACCUCUGAGGAACUUGGACCCUCGCUGAGUCCCCUCAGCCUCUUCACUUGCUUCUGCAUGGCCCGUCCUGUCAGUUAUUUCAGCAAUCCCUCAUCACCUUGACCUCACCGCCUGCCCCUGGGGACAAUCACAAGAGGACUCCAUUUGACUCAGUCCAGCUGCCGCCUUCUCUGUCCUGCCUGAAGCAGCUGAGCGCUGUUGAGACCACACGGCCUCAUGGAUCUAGACGGGCAUGAGCUCCCAGCCUCUGCUUCAUCCUUGGUGCUGCCCGGAGCUUAUUCCAUUUCUAGUCCUCUCGUAUUUUAAAUAUGAAGCCAGAAUACAGCCAUGGAACUGCUUCUCCCUUAGAGCCUCCAGUAGAAACUCACCCUGCCAACACCUUGACUUUGCACUUCCAGCCUUCUCAACUGAGACAGAAUACAUUUCUAUUGUUAUAAACCAGGGAGCCCUAGGAACCCAAUACACCAACUUUCAAGGGCCUCAUCCCACUGACGUCCAAGCAGGCCUGGAUCUAUGUAUGUGUUGUCUCAGUUCUGAAAGCUCCCAUGAGCCUGCAGAGAGACUGCAGGGUCUUCCUGAAUCGUGCCUGAGGAUGAGAGGGAGACUUAGAGGAUUGCCCAGAUAUUGUUCCACCAUUUUUCUAAACUCUGCUGGCCUCUCCCCCUCCCCCAAGAAGGCUUCCUGCUAA